GACAGAGGUGCCAAGCGUUCGGCGGAAUCCCUGGGCUUAAAGCGUGUGUAGGCGGAUUCCUAAGUACCUUGUGAAAUCCCACGGCUCAACCGUGGAACUGCUCGGUAUACUGGGUAUCUUGAGCCACUUAGGGGCGACCGGAACAAAUGGUGGAGCGGUGAAAUGCGCAGAUAUCAUUUGGAACGCCAAUGGUGAAAACAGGUCGCUGGGAGUGUGCUGACGCUGAGACACGAAAGCCAGGGGAGCGAACGGG
rnacentral:rRNA from 1 species